rnacentral:rRNA from 1 species
CCUACGGAUGGCAGCAGUGGGGAAUAUUGCUCAAUGGGCGAAACCCUGAUGCAGCAACGCCGCGUGAACGAUGAAGGCCUUCGGGUUGUAAAGCUCUGUUGUUAAAGAAGAUAAUGACGGUACCUGACGCGUAAGCACCGGCUAACUCCGUGCCAGCAGCCGCGGUAAUACGUAGGGUGCCAGCGUUAUUCGGAAUCACUGGGCGUAAAGGGAGCGUAGGUGGGUUAUCAAGUCAGAUGUGAAAGCCUAUGGCUUAACCGUAGAACUGCAUUUGAAACUGGUAAUCUAGAGUACGGGAGAGGUAGGUGGAAUUCGUGGUGUAGCGGUGAAAUGCGUAGAUAUCAAGAGGAACACCGAUUGCGAAGGCGGCCUGCUAGACUGUAACUGACACUGAUGCGCGAAAGCGUGGGGAGCAAACAGGAUUAGAUACCCGUGUAGUC